UAAUCUCUCAUUUUAAUUACCCAAACCCUCUAAUCCCCUACCCCUCUCAUUUCCACCCCCCAGUCGUCUCUUUCAGAGACUUAUCAAAUGACCCAAAAAAUCCUAGCCGCCAUUGUUACCUUCGCCUGAAAACCCAGCGGCGACACCUCCAACCUCGAUUAAAACAGCAUCCCUGAACCACAUCGAUUCCCCCUCUCCAAAUCCACACUUAUCUUGCCUCGAAUCUUCCCAGGCCGUCUCGAAUCUUCAAUCGAAGAAUUGAGAAAAACCCUAGCCGCCUUUGAUUAACCCCAAACUUACACUAGUUAUCCACCAGGCCACCCUUGUCCCAAAACCCAUGGUAGUUUCAUUCGAAUCUAGCCAGAGUUAGUCGAAUCUUAAAUCGACUGAAGAGCCCUAGAAGCACCAAAACUGAACUUGUACGAGAUUAGGAAAAAUUGGGGUUUUAAUCGACUUUAGUUGAGUGUUCUCAGUCGAGAACACUCGACGAAAAUCCGUUUUGACCUCAAUAGUUCAAGUCGAAGUUCAAACUAACUGAGAGCUAUGUCUAAUUCCGAGGUAUUUUCGCUUCUUUGCUUUUAUUUUUUGUUUGUUUGUUUUUGUUGUUAUUAUUUAUCGGAUUAAGUUUCGGAUAAUUCAUCUUUUGUCAAUUAGUUCUUCUUCCUCUUGGGGACCUUUUACUUGGUCCAGUUUUCUUUUGUCAAUUAAUAACAUAUGUUAUAAAUAGUUUCGUCGAUUACUUCAUUCUUGUUUGUAGUCCAGUAGUUCUCGUCAAAUGGCUAUGUGCUGAUCCUUAGCCACUUAGCUUCAGGGCUCACUGUCUAGAUACUGUCAGUGAUACUACAUUUUGUAUAGGUUUAAUUCCCUACUCGUUCAUUUGUGUUUGAGCAAAUUACGAUUGGCUCCCCAAUAUGGUUAGUUUAUUCCCUAUAUCUAUGGGACCAAUCUAACUUUACUAGUCCAAUGCAUGUUAUUUUGAAUCAUUGGAUCUUAUUUGGAUACUAUUUGGUCCAAUCUGAAUAUAAGCCUGAAUUGAUGUUGAUGAAUUGGACCUUGAUGUGGUUCUGUAAUGAAUUUAGUUUUGAUAUGCUUGUUAGGAGUCAGUUCAUAUGGCUAAGUAAUCGAUUAAUAAGUUGAAUUUAUUAUAGCUGAUAGGUUGUGUACAUAUUGAGGGGAUGGGGUUAGGAUAGGAAUUCUAGGCAACUCAGUGGGUAAUUUGGGAAUUGAAAACUUGAAGAAUUGUUUAAUUUGAGUGUUAUGUUCACUAGGUACUACUGUACCAUUAAAAUAUGGUAUUUGUUUAACAAUUAGUGGGGAACAAAACAUAAUGGUAUGGGGGAUAAGUGAUGAAAAGAUAAAAGAUACACAUAAUAGAGGAAUAUUACAAGCUGGAAAGUGAAGAAAUAUGGGGAUAAUAAUAAGAGAUCUCUUUUACAACUACAAAGAGAAAAAGGGGGCUGGAAAGGGGUUUAAGGGUUUUGGGUAUAAAUAAGGAACAUUUAGGACAGAGUUAGGGGAACCUGGGAGAAUCAGUCUUGUCAGUUUUUUACUCAAUGAAGAGGAAUUUUUGAGGAAAAAAAAGAGUUCAAAGUUUGAAUACAAAAACAGAGUGUUGAGAGUUCGAGGAUCAGUUUUCUUGAAAGCUUUUAAAGCUGAACUCUUCCACACUUUGAAACUUUAAUAGUUUGAAAGAGUGCUCUAGACAAUCAGCUCACACUGUUAUAUUGAUUUUAAGAGCAGAAAUUGUUAAAAUCUCUUUGUUUCUGUUCUGUACUUGGGUGUUCAGGACACUUGAGGUAUUUGGUGAUUUAUUUGAGGGUUGCUGGGUAUUAUCUGAUUGCUGAAAGGUGUUCCAUGACGGUCUAGACUAAUUUCUUGUAGAUUCAAUAUUUUGGUUAAGCUUCUCUCUUCCUGGGCAUUUUGACUGUGGUUUGGUCUUGAACUUGGCUCUAUUUGUUGUUGUUGAUUGUCAACCUGUUGGUGUUACUGUUAUCUGCUAUAGCUGACCUCCUUUCUUUCUUACUCGUAUUUCAACUUCCAAGUACACAGCUGUAACUUUGGCAUUUGUAAGCUGAAAAAUAUGAAAUUUGAAUAUACGUGAAGAGUUAAAAUUCUGAUUUGAUUUCUAUAUGACUUGUGUAUUUAAAUUCUUCAGUCACUGAAGAUAGGUAGAUCUCUGCUAGUUUGUAGUAAGUGGACUGAAAUGGAGUUGUAUGAGAUAUUUUUUUAAUAGUUCACAUUGAAACAUGUUAGCAUCUGGUAACUGAUUCAUGUAGUUAAACAUGAGCUUGUGGGACUGUUGAAUUAAUCUGGACUGUGACUGUUAGAUUACUGGAUCUUUGGAUUAUGUUCGACUAGUUCUGAAUAUCAGUUUUUAUGCCAAUUGCUAAUUCAGGAAAGUACUACAUCAAUUGAAAGGAAUAGGAAAGUGUAAAAUGUAAAUAGUAUUGGAAUUUGGUUAAAGCAUUGACUGUAGGCAUUAACUAUAGUUAGUUUAGUGUGUUUGUUCAGUUUAAGCACUUAAAACUAGAAAAUAACUGGAAUUAGCAUUCUAUUUUGGAACUUGUGAUAUUGUGCUUGCAUUAAUGGCCACUGUUCAAAUUGGUAAUAGCAGUCAUGUAAACAUCAAACUAGAUGUUAGUAUUGCAGUGGCAUAAGACGUUGGUUGAUCCAUUAGUUAAAGCCAGAGUUGGAGUUUCAAUUGCAUGUUUUGGAAAUACAAAUUCAUUUUGCGAGUUGCUUACCUGUUUUCAGUGCAUUAUUAAUUCAUUUUAAUUAGAGUAAGUAAUGAAUUAAUGAAUUGGUAUUAAACUAGUGGCUUAGAAACUUCAUUCAGGAUCGUUUAAGUUAAAAUGAGAAGUUUGGGCUAUAGCAUUGCCCAAUUGUAUGGAUCAUUCAAAUUUGGUAACAAGCCGCCCACUUCCCUUUAGGCCACUAAUAUGCUUGCUAGACCAAUGCUUUGAUCAAAGGCCACAAAAUUGGGCAUUUCUGAUAAACAUGCAGUUUUUUAAAUAUAGUAGUUCAUAAAUUAACUAAGUUUUUAUUAUCAUUUAGAGACACUAAAACUAAAUAGAAAAUCAUAGUUUACUUUAUAUUUGCCUUUAAUAAUAAAACGAGACGAGUCUCGCCGAAUAAAAAAUGCAAAGAUCGUGGGGCCCUCGUUAAAUGUGUUUAUUAAAAUACUUAAAUUUUAGGAUGAGCUGUUUAGAAAAUUUUACAGUUUUCCCUACAAUAAUAACAUGCUAGUUACUGUAGGCGCGCUUUUGAUAAUAUACUUUCUUAAACUCGGGUGCACAUUUAUGUGAUCCAAAUUCAAAUCUCUACGGAGUCGAAAUGUGUCAAUAAUCACGGUUGCGUGGUUCGAGAUGUAUUUUUACGACGUUGCAAUUUUUGUUAAAAAAAAUAAAUAAUAAUAAUAGCAGUAAAAGUAAAAUUUUCACACAGGUUCAACAUGUAUUAAAAUCAAACAAAUAAGCCGAAUAUGAUAGUUGAGUGACCGUGCUAGAACCAUGAAACUCGGGAAUGCCUAACACCUUCUCCCGGGUUAACACAAUUCCUUAUCCAGAUUUCUGGUUCGCGGACUGUAAUACAGAGUCAUUGUUUUCCUCGAUUCGAGAUUCAACCAGUGACUUGGGACACCAUAAAUAUCCCAAGUGGCGACUCUGAAAUAAAUAAAUAAAUUUUGUUUCGAUUGUCCUUUAAUUGGAAAAACUCCCCCUUGUGCCCCUGCAGGUGCGGGUGAAAAAGGAGGUGUGAAAGCUCUGGCAACUCUGGUGGGGACCGAACCCAGAAUCUCUGGUUCAGGGUUCACAAUUCGAGCUUAGAUAAAUUGUUAUGUUUGGGUUUUAUGUAAUUUUGUUACAUUAUUUGUGCUUAUUUUGCUAAUUGACUAUUUUUACAGCUUUGAUAUUUUGUGAACUGUAGCAUAAAUUUUCUUCUUGCGCACCCCCUCUGAGCCUUUUGAAUACAACCUUGUGAAUCGCGGAUAGGCGCCCCAUUCUUUGCUAAGAU
rnacentral:lncRNA from 1 species